AAGCUACAACNUCCUUCAUCGCCUUCUACCGCCUAGGCAUCCACCAUAUGCGCUUAAUCACUUGACCAUAUAACCCCAAAAAUUCUGGAGUCUGGUCGCUCGUACAAAUGCAACAUACCCAAGUAACUAAGUUUGAGAACUUAGAUACUAAAUUUUAGAUAUUGGAUGUCUCACGACAUCCGCCUAUCUGCGAUCUAACCUAAUUUUUAAAGAGCAGUACUUCGAUAAUACGAAGUGGCUAGCGUUGUCGCUAGGCACUUAGCACUAACGGCCUGAACCGUUCAGCUGUAUUGGUGGAGCCAGGGAGGAUCGAACUCCCGACCUCCUGCGUGCAAGGCAGGCGCUCUCCCAGCUGAGCUAUGGCCCCUGAAGAGUCAAAUGGUUCUGAAUAAAUAUGGUGGGUCUGGGAGGAUUUGAACCUCCGACCUCACCCUUAUCAGGGGUGCGUUCUAACCAACUGAGCUACAGACCCAAGUCACUCAGCGCAGUACAGCUGCUCAGCUGUUUAACAGGUCUGUAUCUGCUUCAACAUCGGCUAGGUAACNUGUGUGGAUGCUCCGAAGAUCCGGCCUACUUUUUU
rnacentral:misc_RNA from 1 species